AUCGCUUCUCAGCCUUUUGGCUAAGAUCAAGUGUAAUUAAAAACAGAAUUUCGUCACUUAAAAUUUUUAUAAAUCCUCUCUGAGCCAUGUUCUUUCAGGAAUUAAGAAGUUUAUUUGUCUUUAGUGUCAAGGUAGAAUGUACAGACUGCUUGUCAAUCCCUAUUUGUGUUUUCAUGUCACAACUGGGGGAAAAUCUU